AGGGAUAUUGGAUUCUGCAUUUUGUCGGAGCCUGUUAGCAAACAGCUGUAGAUACUUCUCACAUCUGUCAUGACAGGAUGGAGAGAUCUUCACGUCUCAGGACUAUCUCAGUAGAUUUAUGUCCUGGAAAUUUUUAAGAAAAUCACCAGCUAAACCUUGGCACACCUUGAGAUUACCUUGCUCUCUGGUGGAGAACAGGAAACCUCACUCCUGGUAAAGGCAGUGCCUGCAUGUCCUCUAACCAGUCUUACACCAUAGCAACAAUAACAAGCUGAUUGCUGUACCAUUGCAACCAACGUGGAUGGCAAUGAAGAGAUGUAUUGUUGCUU